CCCUUAGAUGUCCUGGGCCGCACGCGCGUUACACUGAUGCAUUCAACGAGCUUAUAACCUUGGCCGAGAGGCCUGGGCAAUCUUGUUAACGUGCAUCGUGAUAGGGAUAGAUUAUUGAAAUUAGUAAUCUUGAACGAGGAAUUCCUAGUAAACGCAGAUCAUCAAUCUGCAUUGAUUACGUCCCUGCCCUUUGUACACACCGCCCGUCGCACCUACCGAUUGGAUGGUCCGGUGAAGCCUCGGGAUUGUGGUUCUUGCCGCUUUAUUGUGGCGUGACCGCGAGAACUUGUCUAAACCUUAUCAUCUAGAGGAAGGUGAAGUCGUAACA
rnacentral:rRNA from 1 species